UACGUAAGGGGCAAGCGUUGUCCGGAAUUAUUGGGCGUAAAGAGCGUGUAGGCGGCCAGAUAAGUCCGCUGUGAAAUCUCGAGGCUCAACUUCGAGCUGUCGGUGGAAACUAUCUGGCUAGAGUCCGGAAGAGGAGUGUGGAAUUCCUGGUGUAGCGGUGAAAUGCGCAGAUAUCAGGAAGAACACCUAUGGCGAAGGCAGCACUCUGGGACGGUACUGACGCUGAGACGCGAAAGCGUGGGGAGCGAACAGG
rnacentral:rRNA from 1 species